CCUGUGUGUUUGUGUGCUUGCGUGGGGGAUAGAUGCGUGGGAUAGAGGCGAUUCAGGGCGCCCAGCAACAUCGCCGCCAUAUGUACCUUGCACUUGUGAGCAAGCUCCCACGCACGCACAAACCCACACGUGCAAACAAGAGGCACCCAAGAGCACACGCACGCCCCUCCUGCCACAGACGAUGCGGCUGCUGAACGAGUACGGUGUGGUGCUGGAGGGCAUCCUGCUCAAGCCCAACAUGUGCCUGCCCGGUGAGAAGGGUGGGGGGGGAGCCGCUGGGGGCAGCAGUGGCGGGGAGGGGGGGGGGGCAGCAGCAGCGGCAGGGAGGGAGGCACGGCGUGGAGGAAUGGGUAUGGUUGUGGAACUAGAGCCAGGAGCGGCACAUGUGCCACAUCUGGACUGCGGCGUGGGGCGCGUGCAUAAAGGGUGUCGGCAGGCAACAGGGUCCGUCUAAGCCCGCUAAUCCCUUGCCCACACUGCCCCCUCGUCCCUCGCCCCCCUCCCUGCCUCCGCAGGCCUGGACGCGCCCGUGGCCUCGCCCCAGCUGGUGGCGGAGGUGACCACGCGCACCAUGAUGCGCUCCAUCCCGCCCGCAGUGCCCGGCAUCCACUUCCUGUCCGGCGGCAUGAGCGAGGAGGAGUCCACGCUCAACCUGCAGGUGUGUGUGGGGGGGGGGGCGGGGUGAGGGGAGGUAGGAGGGUACCGGAGACCAUAUUGGAAGUCAGGACUAUCAGUGGGGACUGAUCGGCCGGGGGCGUCCUCUGUUGCAGAGCCUGCUAAUUGACUGACCACCACCAUCGCCACCGCCCCCCGUGUCCCAUGCGGCACCCGCAGGCCCUGAACGAGGCAUGCCCCAACGCCCCCUGGGCCCUGACCUUCUCCUACGGCCGCGCCCUGCAGUCGUCCACCCUCAAGGUGCGCUUCGCCACCGCUUCAGCCGCCCCCCUAUACGCCGACUGCCCCGCACGUCCCUGAUUGGUGGCGGGAGGGCGCGCUGACUUGGUUGAGGGUGCAUCGCCGCAGCCAUGAUGCCGACGUGACAACCUUGGCCCUCUGACAAUGAGCCUGCCUGCCCCUCUACUCCCUGAAUCCGGUCGCAGACCUGGGCCGGCAAGGAGUCCAACUGGGCCGCUGCUCAGGUGGGGCAAGGCGUGGUUUGGGGAGGCGGCAGGGAUCAAGGAAACGGCCGGCGUGCGUGCUGCGAACAGGGCUCUUGACGCCUUGCAUUUCCCCCAUCACACCACCAAACACAGAAAACGCGAGCCCAACCUAACUUACCAUUUCUCAAACCCCAACUCCCCCCUGGUUCCCCCUCCAGGACAUCCUGCUCAAGCUGGCCAAGGCCAACUCGGAGGCCUCCACCGGCUCCUUCAAGGGGCCGCACCCCGUGCCCGGCGGCGGCCGCAUCCUGCAGGCCCUGCGCACCGGCGGCGCCGGCAAGUAAGCGCCUCGGCAGCGCCGUGGCCCGUGCAACUGUGUGGAGAGGCGGUUGGCGACUUGACACGUGGCAUGGCCUGGACACGCC
rnacentral:lncRNA from 1 species